rnacentral:rRNA from 1 species
CAGCCGCCGCGGUAACACAGAGGGUGCGAGCGUUAAUCGGAUUUACUGGGCGUAAAGCGUGCGUAGGCGGCUUUUUAAGUCGGAUGUGAAAUCCCUGAGCUUAACUUAGGAAUUGCAUUCGAUACUGGGAAGCUAGAGUAUGGGAGAGGAUGGUAGAAUUCCAGGUGUAGCGGUGAAAUGCGUAGAGAUCUGGAGGAAUACCGAUGGCGAAGGCAGCCAUCUGGCCUAAUACUGACGCUGAGGUACGAAAGCAUGGGGAGCAAACAGGAUUAGAUACCCGCGUAGUCCCUGUCUCUUAUAC